GUGUCAGCCGCCGCGGUAAUACGAAGGGGGCUAGCGUUGUUCGGAUUUACUGGGCGUAAAGCGCGCGCAGGCGGUCCUUCAAGUCAGGGGUGAAAGCCCAGAGCUCAACUCUGGAACUGCCUUUGAGACUGUAGGACUUGGGUAUGGGAGAGGUGAGUGGAAUUCCGAGUGUAGAGGUGAAAUUCGUAGAUAUUCGGAAGAACACCAGUGGCGAAGGCGGCUCACUGGCCCAUUACCGACGCUCAGGCGCGAUAGCGUGGGGAGCAAACAGGAUUAGAUACCCCAGUAGUCC
rnacentral:rRNA from 1 species